UGAAUUUUUCUUAAAAAUAGCCAUGAACUUUCCGGACAACCCAAUAGAAUUAGUGUAAACAGAAUUUAUUCGAUUAUACAGAAUAUUAUACAGAAACCACGUAUCGUGUGAUAUAGAAACCGCGUUAUAAUAAACUCGGAAUUACUACUAAAUAGAGUAAUUUAUACCGCGUUAUACAAAGGUUGUCGCCAUUUUGUUACGCGCAAUAUGGAAACCGCGUUAGAGGAAGAUUUACUGUAAACAUUAAGAAAAGAAAGCACAUUCAGUGGAUGAAAAAUUUCGUCGUGAAGCAAGAAAUUGUCGCGGUGCGCUAACCUAAUAAAAAACAAUACGUUCGAGAUGAAAGGUUUCCAAUGCGCGAUGCAUCGAGCAAACAAAGCUGCAAAUGUAAGUGCAACGUUGCCGUGCUUUCCUCUCGAGAAACGCGGUCGUAGGAGAAGGGGAAUCCAUGAUGAAUCGAAGGUGGGAGUUGGAAGCGGUUCGCGAAGCUGUGUGGCGAUGGUAAUGGCAAUGGACGAUACGAAGAAGGGGUUAUGGUUCGGUAGAGGGAGAGGAGGAGCCGGCACGGGAGUCGAGAAACUGGCUCGAACUGGCACGAGCCGGCGUCUGGUAGAGCCGACAACGAUCCGCUCCGAGGGAAAGAGAGAGAAAACCUCGACGACAAAUAGAUUCAGAACGCCGCACGAUACACGCGUCGCUACGUAGCCGCUUCGGUUUUCGUUUAUUCAUCAGCCUGUUACGACCGAUACAGAGUCGUUCAUACUGUCGCGAUUAUACACCGGUUGAAUUAGCCUUUCGAUUAACGUUUCGAUCUUCUGUUCCGUCCUCGUCCUCCGGCAAUCUUUCACGGGACGAGGAUCGUGGCGCGCGACCACGAGCCACAGUGAACGGCACAGUCGACGGGAAACGGUAUCGAGCGUGAGUCGCAGACAUGAUCUACCGCUGAGGCCGCUUGUUUAUAAAUAAAGCGGUGAUCGGUGACUGUCUUCUCCUGUGACGAAUUCACUGAGAAACGAGACGUGUUGUGUUGUUGGUUCCUCGAGAUAUUCCUGCGAGCAUUCGAGAUUCGGUUCCAAUAACUACGCUUCGGUUCCUCGACCAGAGACACGCGAUAAAUUCUCCACGUCGGAGGCAAACGUCAAACGUUAAACCACGUCAAACGUAUCCGAGACAAUCGAAUCCCCCCCACGUGGACUGGUCGGUGCAUCAGGGUGAUCCUCGAGACUCGUGCACGAUGCACGGAAAUGAGUUAAUCGUUUCCUUGUAAAAUAAUUCGUGCCGGACGAGCUGUCCGUUCGCGUCCUUCGACGAACUCGGAGCGCCGGGGAAGAAUAGGAUCGCUGCGUCGACCGUGAAUGUAAAAAUACAUCCGGAACACCCGAUUCCCGGAGAGAGGAUCGUGGACGAUUCAGGCCAGCGAUCGUGCAACGGGCGAUAGCAGCCGUACUUUGCACCGGAGAUCCGCAAAAGAUGAAAAUUAAGGAACGAUAGAUAAACUUGUUAUUCGUUACUGGUUCAAACAAGAAUUACAAUUUUACGCGAACUUAUUCGAGUGACUUUUCAUUCUAAUACACAUCACGAAUAAAUAAUACUACGACUUAUUUCAACAAGAUUGUGUGAAAAUAAAUAUACAGAGGAUUGAGGUGCAGCUGAAUGUUGGCCUUAAUCUAACCUCGAAAACAAGGUGUGAAAUAAUUAGUGGAGAAGAA